rnacentral:rRNA from 1 species
ACGAACGCUGGCGGCGUGCUUCACCCCUGCCAGUCGAGCGAGGCCCCUCCUUCGGGAGGGUGUCCUAGCGGCGAACGGGUGAGUAACACGUGGGCAACCUGCCCUCAGCUCUGGGAUAACUCCGGGAAACCGGGGCUAAUACCGGAUACGACCUCCACGGGCAUCUGCGGAGGUGGAAAGUUUUUCGGCUGAGGAUGGGCCCGCGGCCUAUCAGCUAGUUGGUGGGGUAGUGGCCCACCAAGGCGACGACGGGUAGCCGGCCUGAGAGGGCGACCGGCCACACUGGGACUGAGACACGGCCCAGACUCCUACGGGAGGCAGCAGUGGGGAAUAUUGCGCAAUGGGCGAAAGCCUGACGCAGCGACGCCGCGUGAGGGACGAAGGCCUUCGGGUUGUAAACCUCUUUCAGCAGGGACGAAGCGAAAGUGACGGUACCUGCAGAAGAAGCACCGGCCAACUACGUG